GUGCCAGCAGCCGCGGUAAUACGUAGGGUACAAGCGUUGUCCGGAAUUAUUGGGCGUAAAGAGCUCGUAGGUGGUUGGUCACGUCUGCUGUGGAAACGCAACGCUUAACGUUGCGCGUGCAGUGGGUACGGGCUGACUAGAGUGCAGUAGGGGAGUCUGGAAUUCCUGGUGUAGCGGUGAAAUGCGCAGAUAUCAGGAGGAACACCGGUGGCGAAGGCGGGACUCUGGGCUGUAACUGACACUGAGGAGCGAAAGCAUGGGGAGCGAACAGGAUUAGAUACCCUGGUAGUCC
rnacentral:rRNA from 1 species